rnacentral:rRNA from 1 species
GGCUUAACACAUGCAAGUCGAGCGGGGAAGGGUAGCUUGCUACCUGACCUAGCGGCGGACGGGUGAGUAAUGCUUAGGAAUCUGCCUAUUAGUGGGGGACAACAUUCCGAAAGGAAUGCUAAUACCGCAUACGCCCUACGGGGGAAAGCAGGGGAUCUUCGGACCUUGCGCUAAUAGAUGAGCCUAAGUCAGAUUAGCUAGUUGGUGGGGUAAAGGCCUACCAAGGCGACGAUCUGUAGCGGGUCUGAGAGGAUGAUCCGCCACACUGGGACUGAGACACGGCCCAGACUCCUACGGGAGGCAGCAGUGGGGAAUAUUGGACAAUGGGCGAAAGCCUGAUCCAGCCAUGCCGCGUGUGUGAAGAAGGCCUUUUGGUUGUAAAGCACUUUAAGCGAGGAGGAGGCUACUUGGAUUAAUACUCUAGGAUAGUGGACGUUACUCGCAGAAUAAGCACCGGCUAACUCUGUGCCAGCAGCCGCGGUAAUACAGAGGGUGCGAGCGUUAAUCGGAUUUACUGGGCGUAAAGCGUGCGUAGGCGGCUUUUUAAGUCGGAUGUGAAAUCCCUGAGCUUAACUUAGGAAUUGCAUUCGAUACUGGGAAGCUAGAGUAUGGGAGAGGAUGGUAGAAUUCCAGGUGUAGCGGUGAAAUGCGUAGAGAUCUGGAGGAAUACCGAUGGCGAAGGCAGCCAUCUGGCCUAAUACUGACGCUGAGGUACGAAAGCAUGGGGAGCAAACAGGAUUAGAUACCCUGGUAGUCCAUGCCGUAAACGAUGUCUACUAGCCGUUGGGGCCUUUGAGGCUUUAGUGGCGCAG